ACACGACUACAUUAGAUACCCGCGUAGUCCUAGCCGUAAACGAUACUCGCUAGGUGUCGGCCACGGUGCGACCGUUGUCGGUGCCGUAGGGAAGCCGUGAAGCGAGCCACCUGGGAAGUACGGCCGCAAGGCUGAAACUUAAAGGAGUUGGCGGGGGAGCACAACAACGGGUGGAGCUUGCGGUUUAAUUGGAUUCAACGCCGGAAAUCUUACCGGGACCGACAGCAACAUGAAGGCCAAGCUGAAGACUUUGCCGGAUUAGCUG
rnacentral:rRNA from 1 species